UACAAACAAGUAAAGGAGAUGUGCAUUUACAGAAGCCUGUUAAUGAACGACAAAAGUCCAGCUUUAGAACAGGCUCACAUAAACGGCAGUUCAAGUCUCCUCGUGAAGGUGACAAUGAUGAGGACAACCACGAACCCCUUGCAAUGAUUCGCCAGCAACUUCAUGGCCCUGGUUGGCCUGAUGGAAAUAUGAGGGUAAAUCAGACAGAAAGCGAGUCACAUUGCUGUAAAACUUCACUCUGCAAUCUUAAACGAUGCCGGGACGACCAUGAGGAUGAGGAACAAACUGCCUUCAGUCAGCAGCCUGCAAAAAAA
ensembl:lncRNA